rnacentral:rRNA from 1 species
UGGGUAACCUGCCUCAAAGAGGGGAAUAGCCUCCCGAAAGGGAGAUUAAUACCGCAUAAUAUGUUUAAGUCGCAUGACUUUAACAUCAAAGGAUUUUUCUUUUAGAAAUUUCCACUUUGAGAUGGACCCGCG